rnacentral:tRNA from 2 species
GGUCGCCUGGCCCAAUCGGUAGAGGUGCACGGCUUAGAACCGUGAUGAUCCGGGUUCGAAUCCCGGGGCGACCA